CAGUCGCCGCGGGAAUACGAAGGGUGCAAGCGUUACUCGGAAUUACUGGGCGUAAAGCGCACGCAGGCGGUCUGUCAAGUCAGAUGUGAAAUCCCCGGGCUUAACCUGGGAACUGCAUUUGAAACUGGCAGGCUAGAGUCUUGUAGAGGGGGGUAGAAUUCCAGGUGUAGCGGUGAAAUGCGUAGAGAUCUGGAGGAAUACCGGUGGCGAAGGCGGCCCCCUGGACAAAGACUGACGCUCAGGUGCGAAAGCGUGGGGAGCAAACAGGAUUAGAUACCCCAGUAGUCCCUGUCUCUUAUAC
rnacentral:rRNA from 1 species